UGGAGGUGAUGAGCUGGCUUGGCCUGACUUUGGAAUGAAGGCAAGAAAACUGAUUUAAUGAGCCUGAUCC
ensembl:snoRNA Snord57 small nucleolar RNA, C/D box 57